UGCGCAAAUGAUGAUAAAAUAGACAGGGACAUCAGAUCUCAAAUGAUGACUUCGUCUAAUGGGAAUCUCUCUGAUGCGUU
rfam:Lupinus angustifolius cultivar Tanjil contig_11934, whole genome shotgun sequence.